UAAAUAAUCAUACUUUCAGUUUAAUUCAUAAUGCAACUUAUUAUGUGUGACUCAUUAGGUUCUUAAUAUGUUAUCAAUGGAAUCAAAUUAUAAUUUUUAUUAAAUUAAUUACUUCAAUUCGAUAAAUCAAGACUAGCAUUUAGCAAUAACAACCUUUCAGUUUACAGUCUAUCAGUGUAAUUCAUUCUUCAUCAUAUAUCUCAAAAAUGAUAAGACAUGAUACAAUGUUUACUUUUAUUGAUCUCCACAUUCGUUCUUGUGGUUAGAUUGUUAUCCUUUUAGAGACUUAUAAAACUCUUUUUUCAUAAUCUCUAAGUCGCCUUGGCUAAAGACUUUAACAAGCUAAUAUCAACCAAGAAUUGUUAAGAUAUGUCUUUUAAAUCACUUGGGGUGAUGAUUCCUUUCUUGACCAUUCAUUUUCCUUCACAUACUUUAACUUAUACUCAAAAGUAUCUUGUUUUGGCAUCCUUGGUUAGGUACCCAUAGAGAUGAAAUCAAAGCAUAGUAAUCCACAGAUAAGAGAACUUAAUAUCUUAAGUCUAGAGAGUAUUUAUACAACUAACACAUGAGAAAUAUUGCAUAAACACUUGAGUGAAAUACCCUUAGAAUAGUUGCCAAGGUAAGAGUUUAAACACCUUAGAUAGUUAAAUCUAAGAAGAUUGUGAAUUAAGAGUUGUUGGUUGAGUUUGAAAUGUAGUUAAGCUGUGAAAUGUCGAAAAUGCUUUUAAGUUAAGAAUUGAGCUCUUAUGUUCUAUUUCGAGGAAGUUUAAGCUUCAAAAACUAUUGGUGAGCAAGGAUAACUCAAUUUGCUUAAUUGAUGGAAAUCACUUGCUAAGUGAGUGAGACUUAUUGGUUAGACAUUGGAUGAAUGCAUGUAAUGCAUAAUACAUGUAGAUGUGCUGCCAUGGGACAUAUUUGAGUCAUAUUUGAUAAGUUUACCUAUGGGUUUAUGUAUGUAUAUGAGUAUACAUACACAUGUGUGUGUGUGUGUGAGCUGUUAUUGUAAUGCUUAAUGCAAAUAAAAUGCCUAGGCUGAUGGGUUACUUGAGUUGUGAUUAUAGCCAUGUGAGUAAUGAAUUUGAUUUCAUUAAAAAGUUAUAUGAAUAUAUGUUGGCAAUGGGAUAUACGUGGUUGAUAUGUGUCUAAACGUAUUAUGCUUAGGCCAACGGUUCAAUGCUAGCUACCUUAUGGCUAUGCUUAGCAAUAAUUAUGUUUGGUGAAAAAGACUUGAUAUAUACAUAUCUUGAAUGGGAAAUAAGCACAUUGAAAUGUUUAAACCAUCCAAAUGGUUUCUUGAAUCCUGCUUUGGUCCUGUAUAAGCCACAUAGUGGUGAUUGUGCUUGAUUAUGUUUGUAUUUGAGGCUAUAUAUGCUGACUUUGCCAAUUUGUUAGCACAUGCUUAUGUCUUGAUGCUCUUAUAUUAUGCAUGUGUAUGAACAUUAUUGCUUUUAAGUAAUGAAUGCUUCUUAUGAGCUAUUGAACUUGAAUUGUGAAAGUUUAUUAAUUUAUUGUUUAAUAGUAUCCGUGAAUGAUGCUAAAUAAUUAUGAAAAUGACAUCUGCACAUGGGGUAGCAACAUGGUGGCCAAUGUUAAUUUGAUUUUGUUCGAUGAGUGCAUUUCGGACGAUGAUAUGGACUUGUGGAGUGGGAUGCCUGUCCUGUUUACCUUGAAGGACCUCUUGAUUUGAUGUUAUCCAAUGAAUGAGAUUCCGAACAUUGAUAUGGACUUGUGGAGUGGGGUGCAUGUCCCAUGGUCUUAUUUAUCAUCAAUGGCUUCGACACUAGACGUGUCUUGUUUACCCAGAGGACCUUUCUCUUGUUACCAUCUUGUUAAUAGUAUAUGGAUGUUUAAAAGCUAACGAUAAGUAGUUUAAUGAGUAAAUGUGUGCUCUGAUGGGUUUGGUAAAUUACUACGUAUAUGCAUUUUCAUAUAUUUGCAUAUCUUGAGAUUGUAGUUUUAUGUGAAUUGCUUUCGUUAUGCAUAUUGGUUUUUGCCCACUCACUGAGUUAACAAGAGCUCACCCUAAUGUCUUGUUCCCAUGUGCAGAUAAAUUGCUUUUGGGGAUUCUUAUACGGAAAGAAGUGGGCUUGUUCGGGUCUCAUGGGUUACCCUCAUUGGACUUGUGUGCCAUUCACAGUCUCUAGAGUUCAUAUGAGAUACAAAUGGAAUAUCGAUGGAAUUAUUGCGAUUGCUGACGGAUAUUGCUUGUAAGCUUCAAAGUCGACUCUUAAGGCCGUCCAUUAGUUAUUUCAUCAAUAUUCACUGAUGGAAUUUAUCGACAGAUCUUAAUCCAUCGGUACCUUUACCGAUGAAAAUAACUGAUGGAGUUUCCUUAUCAUCGACGAGAUAAUGAUCGACGGAUUCAAGCCUUUAAUAAUGGAAUUACUUAUGGAUCAAUCAGUCAGUAUUUUAUUGAUAGAAUAAUCUGUCAACUUACAGAUUUGCCAUUAUCGACCAUUGUAUCUUCG